AGGGGGCUUGUCUGUGUUUGUCAGUGGGUGGGUGGGGGUUCAAGUAUGCUCAUGUUAGGCUGGACCAACUAAGAGUUAGGGGCUAGAAGCACUUGCAUCGCUUCUCCCAAUCCCCGAAAUUUGACUUUGGCAUCCCCUAGACAAGGAGACAAAAGCUCUGUUUUCAUUUCAUAGUUGCCAUCAUGGAAAAUGGAUUCGAGAAACAAUGCAAAAACAGGAAGCAGGAAACAAAGGUAUUAAAAAAACAAAAAGGAUCUUAAAGCAGGAAGAGUUAUGAAAGGUUACAUGGAAGAAUACUCAUAAAGAAACUAAACACAAAUAACUAAGAAACUUAGUCAUAUCUAUAAGUAGCUUAAUGGAACAAACAUAUAAUCUUUAAGAAACCAAAGGGGAAACUAUCAAUAAAACUGGUCCAGGGUGUUGGGCAGUUGCAGCAGUGCAGAGUGGGACAGCAACAUCCAUGAAGAAGGGGGACAGCAGUAGCAAUAUUUGACCACAACCCAUUCCUCCUAGCACCUCUCUUUCUAACAGAUUUUCAAUUUUUUAACUUGAAGUUUUUAGGCUUUUCUUUGAGGAAAAGUUUUAAGCAAAUUUUGCACUCUUUCUUCUAACAUAAAAGACAAUAAAGAUGAAAUAAAGGAAAAAGUACUGGUGGGAGAAGGAAGUAAAAUAGGAACAAUUUGCUAGAUAAGUGGAAAGCCGAUGAUAAUGGAAUGUAAACAGGUUUGGUUUGAAUUCUCUUUCCUUAGCUUUCUGGUCCAAUUUUAUCUAGCUCUAGUUAAAGGAAAUCUGUUAUUGGAAAGUUGUGGAGUGAUUGAUUAAAACCCCUAUUUGAUUUUGAUGAGCUCAAAGCAGUUGAGUAUAUCUUAUGUUUACUAAUGAAUUCAAUUAAGUGUUUCAAUGAAAAUCGUGUCUAAGUGUUUCUAGACUUGGUUCAAGAUAUUUUGGAUAAGGUAUGAAGUCAGUUUGAACCAAAGUCUGAGACUCGAGUCGACUCCAGGAUAUUACGAGUCGACUCCAAGUGUAUCAGAAUCACUGGCACGGGCUCGAGUCGACUCCAGACCAGUACGAGUCGACUCCGACUGAGAACAGACAGACGAACAGAAAGCAUCAACUUAAAACCUGUCAGCGAGUCGACUCCUGAAGUGCG
rnacentral:lncRNA from 1 species